rnacentral:lncRNA from 1 species
GUUGCACAACAAGGUGAAUGUACUUAACACCACUGAACUAUACACUUAAAAAUAAUUAAGAUUUUAAAAAAAACCACUAAGUGUAUCAGUAUCAUUUUUCUGUGACCCCUUCCCCCAAUGCACCUUUAGAAUUCUUUGCUGCUAGUCACCAAAACUAACUCUAAAUGAUGUUAACUAUGAAAAGCAAUUGAUAGCAAUAUGCCAUAUUUCAUUGAUUUGAAGAUGUACGCUUUUUCAUAUCCUAAGAUGUCUGAUAUCAGAACCCUUCUCACAACCGAUGGCGUUUGUAGUGGAUGAGGUGCUUACUGCCCAGAUCCCCCCUGCAGCUCCAUCUCUUGGCGUGUUGACAGAGGACGGCUCUCAGCUGGGCGUCCCUUCCUGGGAUUUGCCUCCUGUUGGAGAUAGCUGCCUCCUCCAAGGCUGCACCCCACAUUCAGUGACUAUUCUAUGUGGGAGUUCAAAGAUCUGGCUCCCUUCCCUUCAUGUGGGACAACUCUGAAGGGCCAUCAACUGCAGAGCUCCCUGUGGGUCUGCCGAGGCCUCCAUUUCUGUCCCAUGGCAGCUCACCUCCUCCCCUUCCUCUGUCCUGCUGCCCUCAUUCGCUGGCACAUAUUGUUCUGGGGAGCCUUCCUCAGCCACCCUUGCACUCAAAUCUCCUCAGAGGCUUUUUUCUGGGGAACCUGGCCUAAGAAAGCAUGUCACCAUUUGAUUGAGAGUCUCUUUUUCUUUCUUAAUGUUCCAUAAAAGAAAGGUGUGGCUUACCAUUAAUGGUGUCUUAGAUUCCAUAAAAUAAGCUGGAAGUUAGCCAAGGGAAAGAGUGGAGGAGGUAGGAAACAGGCCGAAGCGGCUGGUGGGGACUAGAUCUCAAAAGGCCUUGUAGGCUAUUCUAUUGAGUUUAGACUUUGUUUUGAAGGAAAGUAACAUAAGCAACUUUGGUUUUUGGAAAGAUCUGCCUGGUUGAGGGGUGGAUAAUAGAUGGGAGAAUGCAGGCUUUGGAGCAGAGGAAACAGAAAGCGGCUCUUUAAAUAGUCUAUAGUGGGGAUGGUGGCAGUAGAGAUGCUAAGGUUGGGGGUAUGCAAGCGUCCUUACAGAGGUGGAAUCUAGAAGAUUUGGUUACUGUAAUGGUUGUGCAGAUUUCUAGAAAAGAAAGACUCUGUCUUGGGUACUACGUUCCAACAAGCCUAAGAUGUGAUUGAUUGCAGUGUGUCAUGAUUUUAUGUGCCACUGACAAAGAAAAAGGAUGUUCCCAAUCAAACUGCGACCUGCUCUGGAUUGUGAGAGACUUCCUAAUCUCAGAUAUGUCGAAAAGUGAAAAAGUGUGCAUAUUAAAAUUGAAAAAAUGCAAUACUUGUCCUUUUGAGUCAGUUUAAGCCAUCUACUCUGGGGAGUUUCCUGCAUCCCUAAAGCUGAGUUAGAUGCCCCUCUCAAUGCUUUUGUAGCAAUCGGUGAGCGUAGUCCUGUUCUGACAUUUGUCCUGUUACCCUAAUAACACUAUUUUACACUUCAUGAACAAACAUCCACAAAGCCUAACAUGUGCCCAGCUCUCUUCUAGGGUCAGCAAUCAGCAAAUGGACUCAGUAGGAAAAAAUCCGACUGCAUCUCCAUUGCUUGUUUUCUUGCCUCCUGCCUAGUGGACUGUGGGCUUCCUGGCAGAGCACCACUGCAUCCCCAGUAGCUGGUGCAGUGACUGACACCUACUGAGCACAAUAAGGGUUUGUUGUGAGAAUGAAUGAAUACAUUAAAGGGCUUUUCUUUUGUAGUAACUAGUUUAGUAACUCACCCUGAGCCAGACCGUUUGAACUUCAUGCUUCAAUCAUUUCAAAGAGCCUGCCUCAACUUUCUUUGCUCACUCUGACCAUCUUGAGCUUUGCUGCUGGGUUAAUCUGCCCAGAUUACUGCCGUUAUUUGACCAGGGUCAAAAUCCUUUAAAGGCUCCUUGUCACCCACUGAGAGAAGUCUGAUGUUCACUGACUCCUCUCAGUCUAGUUCCAGCUCGUCUUUCUAAACCCACUUCUUACUAUUCCCCCAUAGGAAUCAUGAUCUGCUCACAAUUCUUUAAGUCCUUCCUGAUUUUGUCUUUGCUUGACUAUCGUCUUAGUCUUGCAUAUUCACUCCUUUUCUCUCCCCAAAUCCUAACCAUACACUAAUACUAACUUCAGAUGCCAGCUUAUCCUGGAUCUUUUCUUAGUUGCAGUGGUUCACAAAGAUUUAUUUCUUACCUCCAUCAGCUAUAACUUGUACCAUCUAACUUAUGUCCCUUAUAUUAUGAUUUAAACAUUCAUUUCUCGCCUCCUUAAUCAUGUGGGAAAUUCUUCAUGGGUGGGAAUUUUAUAACAUAUUUAUAUGUUCUUUUGCCUAAACACAGUAUAUGGCAGAGAGAAUAUAUUUAGAAAUAGCUUGGUGAACAAAUGAAUGGAUGUUAAUCUACUGGAUGUCUCCUGCUUUUCUCCCCACCUCGGUUCCAGUCCCCGGGGACUACUUUCUACUCUUCUAGUAAUUUUUUUUCCCUGAGAAACCUCUAAAUUUCUAAAUAAUAUGCUUCUGUGUUGCUAUUUCUUGAUGGAUCAGUUUUAUACGCUUAUUUCUAUUACAAUAGGAUCACAAAUUCCCUUUUUUCUUGGUUCAUUCCCUUGUUUUACUGAAGCAUACCCUCCAGUAGCACUCUAAGAAGGAAUAGAUGAAGACUAUUUCUCUUUUUUCUUAAUCAAGUCUAUUUUUAGAGCAGUUGUAAGUUUACAGCAUAACUGAGGGGAAAGUACUAAGAUUUCUUAUAUCCUUUGUCCCCUCACAUGCACAGCUUCCCCCUUAUCCAUCUCCCCGACCAGAGUGGUACAUUUGUUACAGUUAAUGAACCUACAUUGACACAUCAUAAUCACCCAACGUCCAUAGUUUACAUUAGGGUUCAUUCUUGCUGUUAUACAUUCUGUGAGUUUGGACAAAUGUAUAGUGACUUGUAUCCAUCAUUAUAAUAUCAUACAGAGUAUUUUCACGCUGCCAUAAAAAUCCUCUGUGCUCCACCUUUCAUCCCUACCUCUCUCAACCCGCAGCAAGAACUGAUCUUUAUACUGUCUCCAUUGUUUUGCCUUUCCCUGAUGUCAAAUUGUUGGAAUCAUACAGUAUGAAGCCUUUUCAGAUUGGCUUCUUUCACUUAGUGAUAUGCAUUUAAGUUUCCUCCAUGUCUUUUCAUGGCUUGGGAAUUCAUUUCUUUUUAGCACUGAAUUAUAUCACAUUGUCCGGAUGUACCAUCAUUUAUUUAUCCAUUCACCUACUGAAGAACAUCUUGAUAGCUUCCAAGUUUUAACAACUAUUAAUAAAGUUGCUAUAAACAUCCAUGUACAGGUUUUUGUAUGGUCAUAAUUUUUUCAACCUCUUUGGGUAAAUAUCAAGGAGAUAAUUGCUGGAUUAUAUGCUAAGAGCAUGUUGAAUUUUGUACCACCAAACUGUCUUCCAAAGUGGCUCUAUUGUUUUGCAUUCCUACCAGCAAUGAAUGAGAGUUUCCAUUGCUCCAUAUCCUUGCCAACAUUUAGUGUUGUCAGUGUUUUGGAUUUUGGCCAUUCUAAUAGGUAUGUCAUAGUAUCUCAUUGUUAUUUUAAUUUGCGUGUCCCUGAUAACAUAUGAUGUGGAGCAUCUUUUCAUAUGCUUAUUUGCCAUCUCUUUGGUGAGGUGUCUGUUAAGGUCUUUGGCCUAUUUUUUAAUCAAGUUGUUUUCUUAUUUUUGAGUUUUAAGAAUUCCUCGUAUAUUUUGGGUAACAAUCCUUUAUCAGAUGUGUCUUUUGCAAAUCUUUUCUCCCAGUCUGUGAGUUUUCUCUUCAUUCUCUUGAGAUUGUCUUUCGUACAGCCGAAGUUUGUAAUUAUAAUGGGAUCCAGCUUGUCCAUUAUUUCUUUCAUAGAUUGUGCCUUUGGUGUCUUAUCUAAAAAGACAGCAUCUUACUUAAGGUCAUCUAGGUUUUCUGAGAGCUCUAUUUUUUGAUUCUUUGCAUGUCUAAAAAUGUCUUUAUUCUAUCCUCAUACUUGAUUAAUAAUUCGGCUAGGUAUAGCAUUCCUUUGGAAUCUUGAAGUCCUGUAACAUCCAGCCUUGCUGUUAAGAAAUUUGAUGACAUCGGAACUCCUUUUCCUUGGUUUGUUACCUGUUUUACUUCUGUCUUCCCUUUACAUACAGGAAGUGAAAUUUUCAAUGAUAUGCCUUUGCAUGAAUUUAAAAAAUUAAUUGUGGUGGCUAUGCGGGCACUUUAAAGCUACUAACUUAUUAGAGAAAUGUUUUUGGUAUUGUUUUUUAUGAUUACCCGUCUUCCCAAUUUUCAUUCUUUUUUCCUGGAAUGCUGCUUACCAGAAGUUCUAACUUCUGAGUUCAUCCACUACUUAUCUUAUUUAUUUCCUGUUUGCUAUCUAUUUACCUUCUUAUCCUGCUUUCCAAACAUUUAUUUGAUUUUAACUUUCAAUGUUCCGUUGGAUUUUUAAAAUUUCAACUCUGAUAUUCAUUUUACCCAUGGUCCCUUUUUUCUUUAAUCCCUUUCAUAUCACCUUUCUUUGAGGCUAUUAAUUAUGGUUUAUUCUGUACUCUAUAUUGUCUUUCUCCUUACUGUUCUCCCCUCACUUUUCUGUUUGUUUUGGUCUUGGUGACAAAUAUCUUCCAUUGGCCCCACCAAUCUGCGCUCAGGUCAUACACUCCAUCCCUCUGCUUUUUGUCAUGGAGACUGAAUCAACAGGUUCCUUUGCCUUCUAGCUUCUCUUUGGGCUUGGCCGUUGGGAGAGUGGGAUAGAGGAGAGUGUGCAUGGGGUAUUGGUUCCGUCAGUUCCUCCUGACAACUAGACAAGGCUAAAUUCUUCUACCAAAGGCCACAGUUCUGAGUGAGUGACCACUCCACACAGCUACCUUCUCCAGAUGUUGGCAAUUCCUCGUUCCUGCUUAUUCACCCUGGGCACUGCCUACUCUUGUCAACUAUCCCUCCCUUAAAUUAUCCUUAAAUUUCCAAGUUUGAGUGUGCCAUCUGUUUCCUUUCAGAACCCUAACUGAUACAAUCUUCUUCAGGUAAGAAGACUUCUUCAAACGUAUAGUGAUCUUCAACUGUCCCUUCAUAGCUAAGAGUGAGGCAGUAAAAAGCUGAUGGGAAGCCCUGCUGUAUUGUAGGGGCUUGUUGCCUGGUGAGCUUCGCCGUCAAGACAUAGGGGACAAUCAUUUCAUUGGGGUGCUCCCAAAUGUCACUAUCUGGAUAUAUUUUCUCUGGGACUUUCACUGGAGAAUAAUAAUUCUCUAAUCUCCAGCUGCUGGGAGGAGGAUGGAGAGGUGACCAUAAGCAUAGCUCCUGAUAUCUGGGAGCAGGGCAGAGGGCUAGAACUCGAAGGUCCACAUGUGGACCUGCACUAAGCGUCCCAUAUGGGCACAUCUACUCCUGCCCUGUCCUGGCUCUGGGCUUGGAAGGGAGAGUAGAAAGGAGCUACCUGCUGUGGGAUGAUGUGGGGGCCAAUUAGGGUCUAGGUCUUCUGUGUCCACAAUUUCACACAGUUUCUUGUUUGGAACAGCAUCUUCUCCUUGCCUUCCGUGAGAACUUCCCUGGGAUAAACUGGCCUGCCUCUCAGCUGAGUCAGUUACCACACCUCCUUCUACGUUGUGCCUUCACAAUUUACUGAGAUUUCUUGACUGUUGUUGUCUCUUCUCCCUUUCUUUGUAUAAUUUGGGGUGACUAUAUUUUUUUAUUCUUUUACUGUCAUUUUGGGAGUGAUUAAAAAAAGGUGUGAAUGCAUAUAAAUGCUAUUUUUAGGAUUAAAAAAAAGGAAGUUUUUUUUUGUAAGCAAAAGCAAGAGACAGUACAGCCCAGUGGUUCAGAGCCUGAAUCCAGCGCUGUGACUUCAUUUCCUCCCCUGUGAAAAGGAGAGGAGUGUAAGAAUAGCACCUCCUUUAGAGAAUUUCUGGGAAGAUUAAAUUAGUUACUAUUAUAGGGUGCUCAAAAGAGCAUGUAGUACAUAGUUAGCACUACCUAAAAGGACAGUAAAACACACAUGGUUUCAAAAUAUUCUCUUAAUAGAACAGCUGUGAGCAAUAGGCCCCUGAUACAGGGUUCUGAGAUUCCUUUACAUAGUUCACUGGAAGCUAGUUUUACCAGGAGCUAGUGGUUGGCUGACCCAGGGACAGAGAUCAUCUGGGGUCGUAGUAUGGAGCUUUCCAAGGUUGAGGAGAGGAAGAUAGGCAGAAAAAUUCUGCUGCCCUUUCAUGAAGCAGGCCUGAAGGAGAGAGGCUGGGGCAGGCCUGAGGAGAGAGAGGGGGGCAUUGGGAGUGGGUGGCCUGCUCUGGGUCCCCCAGGUGCUCUCAUCCUGCUGGGUUAGGUCCAGGCUGGUGUGCAAUUUAGGCAGCACUGCAACCUGGAAGAGUAGGAAUCUGCCCAGAAUGUUCUGGAAGAACUCAUCAAGAGACUGACAGUAGGAAUAGGAAGUAACUAUGCACUCUAAAGAUCUACUGCUUAAACAAUACUAUUAAAAACACAGAAAAAGGAUUUAGAGAAAAUCAAUCAAUACAUAUUUAGGCUGGGAUGAGUAUUUGAAAAAAGUCAGGGAUGUUUUAAAGAAGAGAAGACAAAACCGACUUGGUCUAACUUAGACUCCUCAGGGCAACAGAGGAAUAUUGUAAACAUGGCCUGAUUAACUUGUAGAAACCAUGGCCUUUGUAAUUGUCUUGCUUAUUAAUCCAAGAAAUAUUUACUGAGCACCAACUAUAUGAAGACAGGGUGACAGUGUUACAAAGGAAAACCAAGCACCAUCCUUUUCCCCUGGGGGCUUUCCAUCUAAAUGAGACAUUUGCAAAAGUCACUAAAUCAAGGUAAUAUGAUGAGCAGUAAAGUUAACUGAUGUUAUGGAAUUUAGUAGAAGAAGAAAUAACUGAUCAGUAAAAACGUGGGAGAGAUGGGAUACAACCUGGGGUUUUGUCCUUUCUCUUCUGUAGCCUGGUCACUGCCUCUUCCUCUCCUCAGACCAUAUGCCCAGCAGAGCAGAAAUACCUGUGUUCCUCAUGCAGGUCACGCUAUCUGUCACUCCAGGCCUACAGCAGGGACUGAGUGGUGUAACCAUGGCAUAGUCAAGUCCGCUAUCAAGAUCUGGCCGUGCAUCAGUUGGUGACACAGAACCUUGUUUUGAGGUAACUUCCAGCUCCGUGGAUUUUUUGCAUCAGCCUCAGUCCACGUCAGAAUCUUUCUUCAUAAGAAUGAAAUGGUGUUUAUUUAGUGGCAAGCAUAUUAACUGUUUUCUUUAAUAAUGAGCCAAUAUUGAUACAUUAUCAUUAACUAAAGUCUAUACUUUAUUCAGAUUUCCUUAGUUUUUAUCUGAUGUCCUUAUUCUAUUCCAUAUCCCAUCCAGAAUCCCAUAUUAUAUGUCAUAUUACGUGUAAGGGGACAUUACAUGCCUCCUUACGCUCCUCUUGGCUAUUGACUAUUUCUCAGACUUUCCUUAUUUUGGGACAUACUAAUUUUAACAACUCUUUUAUUUUUAGAAUGCCCCUUCUUUCCCUAGAAGAGCAGAAUCCUGCUGAAUGAAUUCAUAUAACACUUUAAAUCAGAUUUGAGAAAAUAAAAGCCUGAUAAUGAGCUCCUGGAGGGUGGGAGUGUGUUACUGUAAUCAAUCUAUGGCUCCAGAAUCAAGCGCAGUUCCUGGAACAAAUAGGUGCUCAGUACACAGAGUAGCCAAUUUCUUGGUUUAUUCUUUAGCAUGCCCCUACUAGGUAUGUGUGCAUUGGGGUUAUAAUGAUCAGUGGGAGAAGGUCCUGCUCUUAAACAUCUUAGAGACAGAGGUAGAGACAUUUAAGCGGAAUAAAACUUUUUUUACUUGGGAGCCUUGCUGGACCCACCUAGAGAGUUUGGUGAGGGAGACAGUGAUCCUUUCUCCAAUGCCCUUGGGGUUAAGGCUGAGUCAGGAAAGCCUUUCUAGGAGAGUGAAUCUUAAAAGAUGACUUGGUGUUGAACCAGCAGAAAAGAGGAGAAAAGUUCUGUGUUGGUUUGUUGUUAUCAUUUGCUUUAGUAACUGAUAUUUGGAAUUAUUUUGGUUUAGAUUUUGAGACUGAAUCUGUAGUUUCAAACUAACUGGUAAUAUCUAUCUUUUUGAAAAUUUGUUUACUUUAUGCCAAAAUCUAACUUCCUGAUUAAAAGAAGGAUAAAUAAAAAGUUGCCUUUUGAGUAGUGCUGCUCAAUAGAACUUUCCAUGAUGAUGGAAGUGUUCUGUAUCUGUGCUGUGUCAUAUGGUGGACACUAGCUACUUAUGUCUACUGGGCACUUUUAAUGUGGCCUGCAUGACUGAGGAACAGAAUUUUAAAUUUUGUUAAGUUUUAAUUAAUUUAAAUUUAAAUAGCCACGUACAGCUAGUGAGUAUCACAUUGGACAGUGCAGCCUGGGAACACUAACAAAGUCUACUGGGCAUCACAGUUUAAGAAGACAACUGAUUUUAGGGGAAGAAAUGGAUUAAGAAGAGAUGUAACUUCCUUGAAAUAUUGAAGAUUUUUAAUAUCAAAGGGAACAUGACCCUGAAAAAAUAUUAUUUUCUAUGUUCCUCAGUGCAUUUGCCUGGAAUACUGCCUGCUUGGUUAACUUCUCUCUGCACAGGCAGUUGUGUAAAAGAUUGUUCUGUGAACAAACUUGGUGAUCAAUUUGGGAGACGUUGUUUAUACUGGACAAUUUUUUUUGUUUGUUCUCCAUUGAGGCGUUUUAUUUGCAUGAAUGUAUUACAUCCCUAGAAAAAGAAUCCCGGAAUUUUCCCUCCUGUGUAUUUUUGUCUUGCUUCUUCUUGGUCCAUGAUGCCAGCUGAGAUUAUCAGUAUAAUGACCCCAAACUGACCGGAUGGGAGCAGGUUAUUCUGCCGUUUUUCUAGAUCUUUGGGUUGCACCUCAAAUCUGGGGCUGAUCACACUUGUCUAACCUGCUGGUGAGGUUCACAACAAUAUUUCCAGCUCUGUGAGCAUCAGUGAUUUCAAGUUCACCGACGUAGCCGUGCUUCAUCACCACAGUUAGAAACCAGAUGUUGACUUUGGAGCACAUCUAAUAAGAGUCUAGCAUUCGCCUAAUUUUUUCAGUGUUGUUGAUGCUCUUGAGAACAUCAGCCAGGACAUUCACGUGCACCAUUAUGGCGGAACAGAAAGAUGAGGAAAGAGUUGGACAAUUUUGAUUAUCUGUCUGCACCAAAGAUUUUCCAGCAAGAGGUUUGCAACUUGUAAAUAUCUUUCAAUUUUAAAACAUAGGUAUAGAUUAACACUGUCCAACUGACAUUUGUGAAUGGCAAUAGAAAAUGCAUGUAUAAUAGGGAAUAAGGAAAAUGUCAGAAAUACUUACCUUUUGAUGGUUUAAGGGGUUCAGAAGUCUCUUAAUAAGAGAAUGAUUAUUCUCAAGUCUCCCACGCCUUUUUAUAGGGUCCACAAUUUUCGGUGUUAUUCUCCUUCCACGAGCUAUGUGAUUUUUGCCUAAAUCGUAGAACCAGUGAAGAAAUGAGUUAUUUUGUAUGUUAUCAUGUGUUGUGUAUGACGUUAUCAUGUGUUAUGUAUGACAUUAUCCAUGGCCCUUUUCUUACAACAACAAAUGAUGGCACUUUGGAUAAUCUAACUCAGUGGGCCUAAAGGCCUAAGGCCUCCCCAAGAUGUGCUACUUUGGCACAUGGAAUAUUUUGAACUAAAGGCAAUUGAGACCCUGUGGGCUCAAGAGAAACAUUUACUUCUCCCUUAAAUAAUUUUAAUUGGCAGCCUUGCCCAUAACAUGAGUUAUUAUCAGAAAUAAAUUUUAUGACCUAUCUGCAUGUCGAGGCAAACCUCUAAUUACUGAACAUCUGCUCUUCUUAUUGUCCUGUGAAUUACCCUCCUCCCCUCUGAAGCCUCAGGACCCUAUCCCAUUCCUUAGCUCAAGGUGACCUAUAUACCUCAUUUUACCUUUUUGUCUCUGAACUUCUCACAUAUGUGGGGUCUCUGACUCUCUCAUAUGUAUGGGGUUGCUGCAUAUACAAAAUUAAAUUUGAUUUUCUCCUGUUAAUGUCUCAUGUCAAUGUAAUUCUUAGAGCAGCCAGAAGAACCUAGAAGGGUAGAGGAAUAUUUCUUCCUCCUCCACAGGCCUUAACGUUGUUUUUAACUACAGUACAGUGGAGAGGAGCCAGGAGCACUUCUUUUCGGGUAAGACACUCUCUCGAGGGCAGGUGUAGGGGGAGAAGGAGAAGGAAAAGGAAGGAGGGAGGGAAUGGGGCCCUUGGGAGACGGAGAGGAACAGGGUGUAUGUGGGCAAUUUCUUCAGCUUUAAAAAGGACUCACAAAGAUGUAUCCAUACUUUUACCUUUUAGCCGUGUAGAUGCAGGUGAAAGGGAUUGCUCACAGAAAAACUGUGAGGUUGGGCCUGGGAGAGAAGGAAAGAGACUGAUUUUUCCCAGUUUAGUUUGCUCUUCUUUUUGACGUUUGUUCUAUAUGCAAAUAGUAUCUUUUUAAAAAUAAUUGCAUUUGAAAUAAUUAGAUUUAACACAGAUGAAAACAUGAAAAGCUAUUCCAUUGUUAGCAACUCUUGAAUUACUAGAGAUUAGUGUCAACUUAUUUUAUGAAAUAAAUUUCUGUUUGAAUCUAUGACAGUCAUUCUCUAUAGCCUUCUUUAAUUUCUCUCCAAAACUAGAAAGUGCCCUGAGAAGAAUUAUCUCUCCUUCUCUCCAGGUCUGACUCCCUGUGAACUUCUCCUGUCUUCACAGCUAUUAUGCACUUGAUUUCAUUUUCAUAGCUAUCUGAUCCUGCUGUUGGUUUCUCAGCUGACUUACAGCUGGGGUUGAACAAUGCAACUGCCCGAUGCUGUUAGCAUUGCAUUUUCAUACAAUGUCUCUCUGUUGGUUUGCCUCAGGUGUUGUGGGAAAUCUUCUAAAAGGAAACUUAUCAGGUGUUCCCUAACUGUAGCUACCAACCAACUCUGAUAACAACACAUCUUUCUAAGUACUAAAUUUCUAGAUUUUUAAUUUAUUGGGACUGUCAUUGCUGCAAUAAUAUUCCAAUAAAGUACAAGAAUUUGGAAACUACAGUCUUGUAGUUUCUGUGCCUCUUUUGUGAACACUUCAAGUAGUCUUUUGAUACUUUUUUCGCUUUACAUUUCCUAACUGAAAGUCAAUUAGCCUUACUCAGUGAAGAACUUUAAGAUUAUAAUUUUGUAAAAUAACAAUCACUCUGAUGAGCAUAACUAUGACCAAGUCAUAUCAAAAUAAUAAGGCUCAAUUUGGGCAAAGAAAUAAAUUAUUUUCCCAAAUCAUGAGAAAUUUCUGAUGAAUAGUUCAUGAGAAACAGAAGCAAUGAACUUAUGCAUAAAGAUUCUAUUUGAAUUAAUCUCAACUACAUAAAUGUUCCUUACUAAAUCUAACUUUUGAUAAUGGACAAGAAAGUAGGAAGCAAGAGAAAUGGCUUCUAUAGACCUAACUGGAGACUUACCAAAGACAAACCAAUGGAGAGAAUGAUGGAAGUAAGUGAUAAACCCUGGAAUUAAGUAAUCAUGAAAAUUUUUAAAAAUUAAUUUUGAAAGCCAUAAAUUACACAAAAGUGUUACGAAUGAUAAAACAAGCAACUAUAUACCCUUUAUCCAGAUUUACAAGUUCUUCAGAUCUUGCCACAUCUGCUUUCUGUCUCCCUCUCCUGCGUUCAUCAAUACAUUAGCAUUCAUUUCCUAGGAAGGGGACAUUUUCCCACAAAUCCCAAUACCAUUAUCACACUCAAGAAACAUUAAUUCAAUACUAUAAUCUAACGUAUGGUCCAUAUUUCAAAUGCUCCUCUUGUCUCCAAAAUGUCUUUUAAAGCUGCAGUUUUUUCCAAUUCAAAACUCCCUCAAGGCUCACACAUUGCGUUUGGCUGUAUUUUCUCUAGAGUCACAUUGUGUGGGAAGUAUGCUCUGUGCGAUGGUACCCUCCAUUUACACCACCAGCCAAGCUCUCCUUGAUCACACAACAGGAAAGCUCACAGCCAGAUUAAGAUGCUGAAAUCACGGGGUUUAAUCAAUUAAAACAUACAACAAGCAGCAAGGGGAUGCAGACCACACAUAUGUCCCGUUUCUCUUGGGCUUCACCUUCCUGUGGAUGCUGUGAUUACUCGGCCAGAGAUGGGCUCUGAGCCAGUGACCCCAGUAAUGGGAGAUUUCAGGGACCCAGACACACACUUGCUUUGUGGGAGGGACACAAGGCACUACAGCCAUGGGCCAGUUAGCCUGAUGAGCAGCUGUGGAAUGAAUAUCACUGAUGAGCAGCCAAUUUUAGGGCCUCGUGAAUAUUGGGGGCCUAAUAAAAAUCUUCUGUAUAUUUUGUAGGGCAUGAAUAUCUAGUGCCUCUUUGUUUUUCCAUCCCUUUCCAUCUGUGUGGUACAUUCAGGCUGCAUUUCAUCUAGUUUAGCUAUACUUAGAACAUCUUAUGAGUUCUACCCACGUCUCACAAACUGCUUGCUUUUACACUUAAUUUCUCUGCCCUCCUUACUUGCUUUCUUGUCUCUAUAACAGAUUCUAACAUUCUUAAAUAAUAUGACAUACACACAUGACAAGUAUCUUUUAAUCAGAACAGUUCCCUCUCUCUUGUUUUUUCACUGCACUGAACUUUUUGAAGAGUCUAGGCUAGUUGUCCUGUAGAAUAUUCCAUAUUCUGGAUUUUUGAUUUGUUUGAUUGCUUUCUCAUGACUAAAUUCAGGGUUAAACAUUUCUGGCAAGAAUUCCAAGAGGCACAUAAUGUGAAGCUCUCCUACUAAGGCUCAUUUUGCUCCUUUAGUUAAAGUUGUCGCUGC